rnacentral:tRNA from 1 species
GGCCUCGUGGCCCAAUGGCAAGGCGUCUGACUACGACCAAGUACUAAUCAGGAGAUUCUGGGUUCGACCCCCAGCGAGGUCA